GCAUUAGUGGUUCAGCAGUAGAACACUCGCCUGCCAAGCGCGCGACCCGGGUUCGAUUCCCCGGCCAAUGCA